rnacentral:rRNA from 1 species
CUACGGGUCGCUGCAGUGGGGAAUAUUCACAAUGGGGGAAACCCUGAUGCAGCAACGCCGCGUGGAGGAUGACGCAUUUCGGUGUGUAAACUCCUUUUAUAUAGGAAGAUAAUGACGGUACUAUAUGAAUAAGCACCGGCUAACUCCGUGCCAGCAGCCGCGGUAAUACGGAGGGUGCAAGCGUUACUCGGAAUCACUGGGCGUAAAGCGCGCGCAGGCGGCCUUUUAAGUUGGAUGUGAAAGCCUAUGGCUUAACCAUAGAACUGCAUCCAAAACUAUCAGGCUCGAGUCUGGGAGGGGAAGAUGGAAUUAGUUGUGUAGGGGUAAAAUCCGUAGAGAUAACUAGGAAUACCAAAAGCGAAGGCGAUCUUCUGGAACAGUACUGACGCUGAGGCGCGAAAGCGUGGGGAGCAAACAGGAUUAGAUACCCCCGUAGUC